CGAAACCUACUAUGACCAAGACUUCUGCUCACAUUGACUUUUUUAAACAUUGUUCACGAAUACUGGGGAAUUUAGCAUUGAAUUUACAGAGCACCAAAAAAAGAAAGGAUAUGCAAAUGUCACUGUAAGCGUCAAUUAGAUCGAAUGUCAUCAUGCAGGAGGUGCAUUCCAGUGACAGCCAGCCAGUUCAGCAGGGCUCAAAAGAUUGAUUGGAAGUGCUGCCUAUGUCAAUAAUUAUAAAUUCCUGUAUAAAUAAUGUAUUAUAGUUCUUUUAUGUAAAAGUUAAUGUAUUGGUGGUGGUCUAGGGGUUGGGGUGGUCCUGGGAAAAUAUGAAAAUAUUAUUGAAAACAUAAUAAUUGAACAAUAAAAAUUAUGAAGUAUCA